AGUACGUAGUUUGAUCAGUGGCUACGAGACGACGCUGGCGGCGUGCCUAACACAUGCAAGUCGAACGGGGUAAGAAGCUUCGGUUUCUUACUUAGUGGCGAACGGGUGAGUAACGCGUGAAUAACCUGCCUGUAUGUGGGGGAUAACAACCGGAAACAGUUGCUAAUACCGCAUAAUGUAUAAGAGUCGCAUGUCUUUUAUACCAAAGGAGCAAUCCGCUGAAAGAUGGGCUCACGUCUGAUUAGUUAGUUGGUGAGGUAACGGCUCACCAAGACUGCGAUCAGUAGCCGGACUGAGAGGUUGAACGGCCACAUUGGGACUGAGAUACGGCCCAGACUCCUACGGGAGGCAGCAGUGGGGAAUAUUGGGCAAUGGGCGAAAGCCUGACCCAGCAACGCCGCGUGAAGGAAGAAGGUUUUCGGAUUGUAAACUUCUUUUAUGAGGGACGAAGAACGUGACGGUACCUCAUGAAUAAGCCACGGCUAACUACGUG
rnacentral:rRNA from 1 species